ACCCGACCCGACCGACCGGCGGCCGCGGCUGGUGGCACCGAAACCGAAUUGAACCCCACCCGCGGCCGCCGCAGCAGCGACUCGACGUCGGCGCUAAGCAAUCCGAGAAGCCGGCACCCACCCACGGAGACGGAGGUCAGGUCGGGCCGUCGGGGGACGCGGGACGCCAGACGCCUCCUCAUCGGCGCUCUUCUAAAUACCCGCCCCCAUCUCCCUACCCAGCAGGGAGGAAAUCGCGGUGCGGGUUGCGGACACGCCCACGGGAACGCGGCGGCGCAUGGACCGCAUCGUCGGCGGCAAGUUCAAGCUCGGCCGGAAGAUCGGCUGCGGCUCCUUCGGCGAGAUCUACCUCGCCACGCACGUGGACACCUACGAGAUCGUCGCCGUGAAGAUCGAGAGCAGCAAGACGAAACAUCCCCAGUUGUUCUACGAGGCAAAGAUCUACAACACCCUCCAAGGAGGAAGUGGCAUUGCCAAUGUCAAGUGGUGCGGCGUGGAUGGGGAAGAGAAUGUUCUCGUCAUUGACUUGCUGGGACCGAGUUUGGAGGACCUGUUUUGUUAUUGCGGACGGAAAUUCACGCUGAAGACUGUCCUGAUGUUGGCUGAACAGAUGAUUACAAGAAUAGAGUUUAUGCAUUCCAAAGGCUACUUACACAGAGACAUUAAACCUGACAACUUUCUGAUGGGUCUUGGUCGGAAAGCAAAUCAGGUAUAUAUAAUUGAUUUUGGUCUCGCAAAAAGAUACCGCGAUUCCACUACGAAUCGCCAUAUUCCUUACAGAGAUAAUAAGAGCUUGACUGGUACAGCGCGCUAUGCAAGUUGCAACACCCACCUUGGAAUUGAACAAAGCCGCAGGGAUGAUUUGAUAUCUCUAGGCUAUGUGUUUCUGUAUUUUCUCCGAGGAAGCCUCCCUUGGCAGGGACUAAAAGCUGCAACAAAGACACAGAAGUAUGACAAGAUAUGUGAGAAAAAGCUAGCAACUCCUAUCGAGAUCUUAUGCAAAUCCUGUCCGGUCGAGUUUUCAUCUUACUUCCAUUACUGCCAAUCAUUGUCAUUUGAUCAGCGACCUGACUAUCCAUUUGUGAAGCGACUUUUCCGUGACUUGUUUAACAGCCAAGGUUAUGAGUUUGAUUAUGUCUUCGACUGGACAGUUUUGAAAUACAGACAAGGCCAAAAACAAAAGCAAAGUCCUGGAGCACCUAUUGCUCGACCAAUUCAUGCACAUGUACAGAAACAAGCAGGUGUAAAUGGUGUUUUCCAUCAUAAUGAAGCCCAGGAGCAUGUAGAGACAAGUCGUCCAGCAGGGCAAGCUGCGCAGUCGCAAGGCAAACAGGCAAUCAACAAUGAUCGGAAUCCCAACGUGCGGCAUACCAUGAACCUUGCACAAGACAUGGCUGCUGGAAAAGCGCAGCUGACAACAUCUGUGGCUCUUCCUAGUUCCCAGUGGAAAAAUUAUAGCGAUUCAAGAUCUAAAGGACAAUUUGAUGCCGUUCACCACAAUCAGGGUACUGUAAACAUAACUAGCUCAUCUAACAUGCUUCCUACAUUCCAGCACAAUGCCCCAGCAAAGUGACAGAUCAUAUCUGGUGGAGCAAAGAGGAAAUGCUUUGAGAGUUAGAGGAGGCCCCUGUUCCUUUGAGUUGGUUCAGAGUCAAGCCUUGCACAGUCUGUAGCCUUGAUGUCUCAUAUGCUCAGCUGAACAGGGACAGUGUAUGCCAUUGUUAAGUUGAAUUUGUCUACAUGAGGACUUCUGUAUCUUAUUAAGCAGAGUGAUGCUUGCAACUCGCAAAAAUCAGCUGGAUACCGGAAUCGUUCAAGUAGCCCCAAAGGAAAAAAAAGGGUACGAAGGGAGGAGUAAGUGAAAUCAUGGAAGCUGAUGCUUGACGGUGAUCUUCAGUGAAGCAAAUAAGGAAGGACAAGUUGUUGAAUUUUUCAUGUAAAUUAAGAUGCAACCUCGUGGAGAUGCCACUAGGACAGCAGGAGGGGGAGAAGGAUGGAAAGCGGAAGAACAAAGCUUGUCAAAUGAAGGCUUCCCCCAAAUUUUUUUGAAUAGGAAACUGGUUUUCGCCUUACACCACUUGUUCUUGAUGUCAGAAAGCACUUAAGGACAAGCUCGAUAUCAUGAUAUUGGUUGCUAAGAAGUACAGGAAAGAGGGGUGCCAAAGAUCAAAGAUAAAUAAACCUUGUGGCAUGCUGUAUGGUAUCAUCAGCAAACGUUAUGGCCAAGAGCUGAGUUUGUUUGCUGUUCCAUUUCAAGUGAAACAAUGAUGGAAAUACGCUACAUAACACAUGGCUUCUUGGAGUACUGCUAGGAUUCAUCUUGCACAGAUUAUCAGUUUCAUACAGGGAUUGAUCUUCAGAUUCAGAUACGCGUCUCAAAUGAACACACUAUGGGCGACUGUAGCAAGAACUUGAUGGGUUCACUUCACCCGAGGAAAAGAUUCUUCGCACGAGCUGCGGGAAACAAGGAUUGCAGGCCGCAUCAUCAUUCUCUCCAUUCUCCGGCAUGAGAAUUAAAGGAAGCAAUUUUCCUUUCCAAAAAAUGGAGUUAAAGAAAGCCCUGCCAUGCCACUGCCUGAGAUCAUCAUUCUCUUUCCGUAAGCACCCAAUAAUUUGGGCCAUUAAAGCAGACAAAGGGGAGAUAAGCUCAGUCAGGGCACUCACAAUGCAGACUCUAUCAUAGAGUCUAAAGUUAUUUAUUACCUCGAACAAUGUGGACUUGGAGUCUAAAUAAGACUUGGAGUCUUAUUUUUUCUACCUCUUUCUUCAAUGAAUAUGCUGUCACAUCAGCAAAAUACCAUAAAUAAUAUGUAAUCAAGUGUCUUGGACUCUGUGAUAGAGUCUUGCAUUGUGAGUGCCCUCAGGAUAUUCCAUGAAAAAGGCAAAAAGGAAGCACCUGUAAUCAUCAGCUUCAUCACUCAUCAGGCUACUAAUGCUAAUGCUAAUGGCAGGGCAUAUUCCCCUCCCCUGUUGGUUUCCUGC